rnacentral:misc_RNA from 1 species
UUUCCGUAGGUGAACCUGCGGAAGGAUCAUUAUUGUGUAACCGAGGUGCGAGGGCUGUCGCUGACCCGAAAGGUCGUGCACACCCGAGUGCCCUCACACACAUCCAUCUCACCCCUAUGUGCACCACCGCGUGGGUCCCCCUUUGGCUUGUUCGGAGGGGGGCUUACGUUUUCACACAAACUUUGUAUGCAGUGUAGAAUGUAUUUUUUGUUUUUGCGAUCACGCAAUCAAUACAACUUUCAACAACGGAUCUCUUGGCUCUC